CCGUGCCAGCAGCCGCGGUAAUACGGAGGGUGCGAGCGUUAAUCGGAAUUACUGGGCGUAAAGCGCAUGCAGGCGGCCUGUUAAGUCAGAUGUGAAAGCCCGGGGCGUUAACCUCGGAAUUGCAUUUGUAAACUGGCAGGCUAGAGUCUUGUAGAGGGGGGUAGGAAUUUCAGGUGUAGCGGUGAAAUGCGUAGAGAUCUGAAGGAAUACCAGUGGCGAAGGCGGCCCCCUGGACAAAGACUGACGCUCAGAUGCGAAAAGCGUGGGGAGCAAACAGGAUUAGAUACCCUGGUAG
rnacentral:rRNA from 1 species